UGCGAAGCAGUACCAUGGUGUAAAGAAGCUCGAAAAGGUUUCACUAGGAGAGUUGAACAACUAUAUUCUGGAGUCACCCCCGCAAGCCCUUGAGUUUCUAUGCAAAGCCAAGAUCGCAUCACUGGAAACUACAAACGGAUGGUGAUACAUCUCCUGUGCUAAAUGCAAGAAGCUCCAGCGAGGGAACUCUUCAUUCACAUGCCCUACAUGUUUUAAUGCCAGUGUUGUUGGAGUUGUCAGGUUCGGUUCACAUAUCUAUAUUAAACUUGCUCAUUAGAAACAGCCUUUUGUUAUUUGUGCCAACUAUUUGGAAA